rnacentral:misc_RNA from 1 species
UACAGAGGUGGCAAGCGUUGUUCGGAUUCAUUGGGCGUAAAGGGUCCGCAGGCGGUCCACAAAGUCGGGUGUGAAAUCCUACAGCUUAACUGUAGAACUGCAUUCGAAACUCGUGGACUAGAGUGUGAGAGGGGUGGAGGGAAUUCCCAGUGUAAGGGUGAAAUCUGCAGAGAUUGGGAAGAACACCAGUCGCGAAGGCGCUUCACUGGCUCACUACUGACGCUCAGGGACGAAAGCUAGGGGAGCAAACGGG